UCAAGCUAUAAAGAGCGUAGGGAGAAUGACUUGGCAUCAGGAGCCGAAGAAGGACGUGACAAGCUGCGAAAAGCUGCGGUUAGGAGCAAAUAUCCAUAGACCCGCAGAUAUCCGAAUGGGGAAACCCGGUACGGCAAUACCGUAUCACUGCAUGGUAAAUACAUAGCCAUGUGGAGGAAACCCUCUGAACUGAAACAUCUAAGUAGGAGGAGGAAGAGAAAGAAACAUCGAUUUCCUAAGUAGCGGCGAGCGAAAGGGAAAGAGGCCAAACCAGAGAUAGCAAUAUCUUUGGGGUUGCGGACUGCAAAAUUGAUUCAAUAUUUUUAGCAGAAGUGUAUGGGAAGACACACCAUAGUAGGUAAUAGUCCUGUAAGCGAAAAGGAUAUUGACAAGGCAGGAUCCAGAGUACCACCGGACACGAGGAACCCGGUGGGAAGCCGGGGGGACCACCCUCCAAGCCUAAAUACUACCUGAUGACCGAUAGUGAAAAGUACAGUGAUGGAAAGUUGAAAAGAACCGCGGAAGGGGAGUGAAAAAGAACCUGAAACCCUAUGUUUACAAGCUGCUAAAGCACCAUAUGAGUGCGAUAGCGUACUUUUUGUAGAACGGUCCGGCGAGUGUAUGUUGCAAGCGAGGUUAAGGUGUUAAGCACUGAAGCCGAAGGGAGACCGAGUGUGAAUAGCGCGUACAGUUUGCAGUAUACGACCCGAAACCGGGUGACCUAACCAUGGACAGGUUGAAGUGGAAGUAAAAUUCCAUGGAGGACCGAACCCACGUCUGUUGAAAAAGGCGGGGAUGAGCUGUGGUUAGCGGUGAAAUUCCAAUCGAACUCGGAUAUAGCUGGUUCUCAUCGAAAUAGCUUUAGGGCUAGCCUCAGGAUAGUUUAGCGGAGGUAAAGCACUGAAUGGGCUAGGGGGCUUCACGGCUUACCGAACCCUAUCAAACUCUGAAUGCCGCAUAAAUGUUUCCUGGGAGUCAGACUGCGUGAGAUAAGUUUCGUAGUCAAAAGGGAAAGAGCCCAGACCUACAGCUAAGGUCCCUAAAUGAAUUUAAGUGGAAAAGGAUGUGCAGUUGCGUAGACAACUAGGACGUUGGCUUAGAAGCAGCCACUCAUUUAAAGAGUGCGUAAUAGCUCACUAGUCGAGAGAUCCUGCGCCGAAAAUGUCCGGGGCUCAAACUUACCACCGAAGCUACGGGCUUGCGUAAGCAAGCGGUAGGGGAGCGUCGUAAUCGGGCUGAAGUCGUACCGUAAGGAGCGGUGGACUGAUUACGAGUGAGAAUGUUGGCAUUAGUAGCGAGAUGUAGGUGAGAAUCCUACAGGCCGAAUAUCUAAGGUUUCCUCAGGAAGGCUCGUCCGCUGAGGGUUAGUCGGGACCUAAGCCGAGGCCGAAAGGCGUAGGCGAUGGACAAUCGGUUGAUAUUCCGAUACCACUACCAUCGUUAUUAUCGAGGGUGUGACGGAGAAGGAUAGUGUGUGCUAGCGAUUGGAAAUGCUAGUCUAAGCGUUUAGGGAGUUACGGUAGGCAAAUCCGCUGUAACAAUUCUGAGGCGUGAUGGGGAAGGCCAUAUAGGCCGAAGUACAUGAUUCCAUGCUUCCAAGAAAAGCAUCUAGAGAGAGAAGUAGUGCCCGUACCGCAAACCGACACAGGUAGAUGAGGAGAGAAUCCUAAGGCCGGCGGAAGAAUUGCAGUUAAGGAACUAGGCAAAUUGACCCCGUAAGUUCGCGAGAAGGGGUGCCUGCGAGAGCAGGCCGCAGAGAAUAGGCCCAAGCAACUGUUUAGCAAAAACACAGGUCUCUGCUAAAGCGUAAGCUGAUGUAUAGGGGCUGACGCCUGCCCGGUGCUGGAAGGUUAAGGGGAACACUUAGCGCAAGCGAAGGUGUGAACUUAAGCCCCAGUAAACGGCGGCCGUAACUAUAACGGUCCUAAGGUAGCGAAAUUCCUUGUCAGGUAAGUUCUGACCCGCACGAAUGGCGUAACGAUUUGGGCGCCGCCAGAUCCGGAUCCAGCACGUCUCCAUGGGCAAAGCUGGUGGGAAGGCUCAUGACCUCCUUUAAGAUCCUGUCAUACUCAGACAUACAGAGCUUCCGCUCCUCCUUAUCCUCCAGGGUCCUGGCCAUAUUGGCGAUCAGUGCCAGCUCGCUCCGCACCACGUGGCCCUGGGGCCGGGUCAUCAGAAGAUCCGUCAGCUCAUUGACACACCGUUCCCUGUCCCGGUUGAACACGCGUCCCAGGGAGGAGCCCAGAUGGAUAUAGACUUCCGCAUCCAGGUCAUAAAUAUGCUCUGCCAGUUCCUUGAUCUCUUCUCGGUUCAUUGACAUGAUUCCUCCCCCUUCCUAUAAAAAGAACAAAAGCGUAUCCAGGAUAAACACCGGAGUCAGGAUCCCGAAGGACCAGAUCAGGUAGCCGAAAAAGGACGGCAUCCGGAUACCGUUUUCAUCCGCAAUGGAUUUGACCAUAAAGUUGGGCGCAUUUCCGAUAUAUGUGUUGGCUCCCAUAAACACGGCUCCGGCGGAGAUCGCCUCCAGCAUUUUGAUGGGAACAGAACCCAGAGCCGUCAUCAUGCCGCCGGUAAAGCCCAGAGAUCCGGCUGUCGUUAAGAACACCAGAUAGGUGGGUGGAUUAUCCAGGAAGCUGGACAAAAGUCCUGUGGCCCAGAACAUCUGGAAGGGAUCCGUGAUCCC
rnacentral:rRNA from 1 species